rnacentral:lncRNA from 1 species
GGCCGAGAAGGUCAUCAGUUCACCCGCAGCUGUAUACUGAGCACAAACACAGACGAGCCGAGCGAUCUGCUUGAUGACCCGACUAAUCUUGACGACUGCUUCGCGCUCCAGUCCGUGUAUCUGUGUUUGCACUGGGUGAAGAGCGGUAAACUGAGUCCAAACCAAACACAGAUCCACGGAGACUGAAGCGCGAAGCCGUAAAGAUCAGUCGAGUCAUCCGCGCUCAGCAGCGCUUCCAUGUUAGCGGGAAAUAGUCAGGUUUAAACCUUCAGUACCAGGACAACCCUUUUACAGACAACACGAGGGCGUGCUGCAGAAGACUGCAGUGUUUUACCACUCACCGGGUUACAUAGGCUGAAGCAGGAAAGCGUCCUUACGGUGUUUAACUAGUGCUAUGAGCUGAAGCCUAGGAGGACACUUAAGCGUAUCACAGAGAUUGUGAUGUUGUUUGAUGCUAAAUUGCUUUUAUUAUUUAAAAUAAACUUACUAAAUAAUAUUAAAGUGAUGUUUACACCAUUUCUGCAUUUUGAAAUCGCGGCAACAGCUGGAGGUCUAUAGUACACAUCAUGUUGCUGCAAUGUUUACAGUGCUGGUCCUAUACUUCCGGGUUUCUUCCCACCGCAGCCUCGCUUUGGUUCUUUAAAAUAGCGGCCGAGUGAAAUAAGCGUAUUGCGGUGGGCCUCAAAACUGCUGGGAUUUACAUGGUGAGU